AAAAGUUUCCCUACUUCUCACACCUUUGGACAAAGCAGUGGUGCUGCUCAGGCCACAAGUGCAUUGUUAAAAGCAUCUGCUUUCACUUAAGGAUCUUGAAGGAUUGCAGAACUCCGGGAACAUGCAAAUUCAAGAGCUAUAGAAGUGCCAGAGUGGAGAAAGUUAAAUGUUCCCUCGAGGGCAUUCAAGUUUACAGAGUUUUAGUUCACUUUAAUUAGAAUCCCAGAGCAUCAUCUGCUGAAGGGCUUCUUCAUUUGUAUUUUAUUAUUCUCCAUAAUAAGUGUGUGUAUUCCUUUCUUGACCCCGCAGAGCUGUGCACCACAAGGUGAACUCAACUCACAUCACACUGGCCCGAUAACAAGAGCCCAGUCACACGAGUGUGCAAGUGAUGCUGCCGUGCACAGGGGACAAAAUGCAUAGGGAAUAAGAAAAUAUCAUCCAGCUCAUGACAUUUCCUUGAAGUUACUUGUGAGCUGUUCCCAGUGCUCGCCAGGGCAGCGCUGCACGCAGCCGGCAGGACCUGAGCCAGCUUCUCCACCCAGUGCCGGGGCUGAUGAACUCCCUGGAGAUGUGUUUGCCAUCACCAUGGCCUUUAAGGAGUCCUGGAACAUGGUCUAAUUUCAUGAUUUUUUCCAUCUGGUUUGCCAGUUUAAAGCCGUUUUCACACAUGGCCAAAAAUAACUUCAUUUUUCUCUCAUGAGCUCUGGAAGCAGAAGCUUGUGGUGGUGAAAGGACACCAGGCAUCCACGGGAGCAGCUGGGACACAGCAGGUGCCUCCUAUCCCCUGAAGACCGUGGAACAGGGGGGCACACAGGGACAACCCUCAGGCAAAGAGGGGAUGAAUGCCUGAAUGCCAGCAUUGGAUUGCUGUCACAGCUCAGACAUCCUAGGGUCAGCUCCAUGCUGCCCUCUCGUCCACCACAUGUCAUUGUCCCUGAGCCCCUUCUCACGGGACAGCUUUUAGCCCUGCUGAAAGCAGCACCAAAGGGAGGAGGAGAGAUGCCGAUGACCUCGCUGCUGAUGUCAGAGCAGAGCUCUGCACUUCGUUGCCAUGGCAAUGGAACAAGGACCACAACACACAUUUUCUGGCACAACAUCAGCCGCUCCCACUGCAUCCCAGGGAAUGUUCUCAUGGGACCACGGGCUUCGCCUGCUGUGGUCUCAUUCUUGGAUUCCUCACCUUACAGGUACCUCCUGGUGAAGCAAAACCAUCUGAUCUCUGCUGCUCCUUC
rnacentral:lncRNA from 1 species